CAGGUGCAUCCACAGUGCUGCAAAUGGCAACAGGUGAUUCUUAUAUCAUCCAGAAUUGAAAAGCACUGGUGUAGAAGCUGUAGAGAGUGGAGUGUAUCAGCAAAGGAAGCAGAAACAGUGUGGUCAGUGAGGCAAGAUGCAAACAAGAAAGCUUGUUACAGAUUUCAACCGAAGAAAACGUUUCAAGCAGGAGAGGGUGAGAAGUCAAAUACUGGAGAGAAGAAAGAAUUGGCCACUGUAGUUUCAGGCAACAUGGAGGGUGCUGUUAGACAAGAGCAGACUCAUUCCAGAGAGUGCCUACUAAGUGUCAUAUACAGAGGCAGAGCCAUGAAUUCUUGCUGUCAUAGAGCUACAGUUUCACUGAAGGCUGGAAUGAGAAGGCAUAUGAUAAAUAUGAAAUAAGCAGAUAUUGGCACUGUUGUAAAAAGAGGAAUGGUGAAGGCAGUGAUAAACACAAGAAGAUGAUUGUAAUGAUUGUACAUGGUUUUCAGUGGGUGAAAGGAAGACCAUGAUCGGUGUUAGAGCCAACGAAAAGGAGUUGGGAUGGCAGUGCCUGGCUGGCUCAGUUGGAAGAGCAUGUGACUCUUGAUCUCAAGGUUGUAAGUUUGAGCCCCAUGUUGGGUGUGGAGAUUACUUAAAUAAAUACAUAAAUAUUUAAAA